GCUGGCUGGCAGGUGGCGGGGAGGCUGCUGCUCGUGCUGGUGUCAAGGACAGAGCAUUUGUUCUGCAGCAGACCGGAGAAGGGCUUCCAAGGGGCUCUUCCAAAAGCACAGACGCGCUCUAUUUCCAGACCAGAACAAGAAAGGAUGUUGCCUCUUUGGAGCAAUUCUGUCAUCUUUUCUAAGGUUGCUGAACAUAAUAAAACACAGGAUGUCCAGGUCCAUCAUGACCUGUGCCAAAGGCAGAUGCUUUAAUGACUGAGCCACCCAGGCACCCCUAUAAAGAUAUGAAGACAACAAAGCAAGAUGUUUUAUGAAGUCAGUGCCACAAAAGGAGCUCCCAAAACUUCCGUCUAGAUUCGUGAAUCCAUUGUGUGACUUUCUUCUCCGUGUUCUAUUUUCCACUGCUCCUGCCUUUGUCCUUUUUCUCUGAUUCUGUUUCUCUCUCAGGAAUGAAAGCAUCAUCUGUUAUGAGCCCUUGUUCAACAAGCCAUGUUGACAGCCAGAACAGAUUGAGGAAGCGGUCCUCAGAGGCAGGUCCCGGUGAAAGCAGGAAGCGGAAACCAUUUCUCCUUUGACACACUCCUCUCUGUGGCCUUUAGAUCCCCGACCUGAAUUGGGUCCUCACAGCCCUAGCGGCUUACUGCCUACUAUGUCCCAUGCAGGUUCACCGCUUCAAAUAGUGCCACAGCCUUAAGAUUACUUCCUCUUUUUAUUUCCUAUCGAAACCUCCCUUUCCUCGGGGCUGAGGGCAGCAUCAAAAGGAGAAGGGAGUUGGGGGAAAUUGGAAGGGGAGGUGAAACAUGAGAGACUAUGGACUCUGAAAAACAAUC